GUGGGGAAUAUUGCACAAUGGGGGAAACCCUGAUGCAGCGACGCCGCGUGAAGGAAGAAGUAUCUCGGUAUGUAAACUUCUAUCAGCAGGGAAGAUAAUGACGGUACCUGACUAAGAAGCCCCGGCUAACUACGUGCCAGCAGCCGCGGUAAUACGUAGGGGGCAAGCGUUAUCCGGAUUUACUGGGUGUAAAGGGAGCGUAGACGGCCGUGCAAGUCUGAUGUGAAAGGCUGGGGCUCAACCCCGGGACUGCAUUGGAAACUGUAUGGCUGGAGUGCCGGAGAGGUAAGCGGAAUUCCUAGUGUAGCGGUGAAAUGCGUAGAUAUUAGGAGGAACACCAGUGGCGAAGGCGGCUUACUGGACGGUAACUGACGUUGAGGCUCGAAAGCGUGGGGAGCAAACAGGAUUAGAAACCCGGGUAGUCC
rnacentral:rRNA from 1 species